ensembl:lncRNA
GUGAGCGAACCGUCACAUGACGCCGUAGACUGUGUGUGGCAUGUGGCAUUCAUGAUCACUCCAUUAGCUCUUUCCUCUUCACAUGACACAACUGGGAGCUGUGUGACGUGGAGAUGUUGGGCAGGUAUAAUGUUGAUCAGAACCACCAAUGUGACCUUCAAUAGUGGAGCGAGAACAUGUCCAGACGAUAUUUGCAGCUGGUCUGUUGAGUGGAGGUGACAGCUAAUGGGAUCGGAUUCAUCCUCUAGGGACCAAGAUUAUCCCAAACGAGGGGCCUCCACAGCCAGCGGGCCGGCCAGCCGGGCCGGCAGCCGAGCCGGCAGCCGAGCCAGCAGCCGGCGCGGCAGCGACGCCUCGGAGGCAUCGGAGCUCCAGGACUCCCACUCGGUCUGCUCCGACGCCUCGGACACCCCGCGCCGCCCCGGGGCCAAACCCUCCAAGAUUCCCACCAUCUCCAAAAAGGCCCCCAGCCCAAAGAACCCGGGGACCACGAAGAAGUAACUCCCGCCGCCGAGAAACUGGAGCAGACCCGUUUCAUGAAGGGGAGGGGGGGGGACUACUUUAUGACUCUUCAGUCCCAGAUCCAUCCACGGGGCUCACACAGUCUGUGCACUGCGACUGAUAUUUUCCAGCGAAGAGGAGAUGAAUAUGAUGAGUAAGUGUCUUUCUCACUGUGCUCGGUUUCCUAAACGGACUGAAAACCUGGACAAGAGGAGCACUGCCAGAGGCCGGCGGGUCGGACUGGACUCCUCCUCUUUAAGAAGCGACCCUCAUUUUGCCUUCCAGUCUCCUGCUUCGUCUUUUAGAACCAAACACAGAACCGACCGGGCGCGAUGCUGCCUUACUCACACGCUCGGGUCCGGAUCGGACCGAGCGGCCGCUUCGUACCACACUGACACACAGACACACACGGGGAGUGGAACCGCCACAGAUACAGAAACAAGAAAAGGACGUUCAAGAAUAAAGAAUCGCGAGUCAUUAUUUUUGCCUGUGGGCCGGACGCCUCAGCGAUGAGUUUAAAAAGAAAAUAUGCAACGACCGCCAUGUGGCCUCCUACGGACUGGUUGGCGAGGAAGGCGGUCAGCUCAGCAGAUCCGCAAAGCGCGCGUGGAGCAGCCGAGGAGGCGGGAAACGAUGCCCGACGCGCGCACACACACACACACACACACACACACACGGCGGCUGGCCUCUGACUCGGAGGGUCGCCGUGGUGACUGUGGUGACGGCGGUGUUGCUGCAGCCGAGGACAAACGCUCACACACUCAAACGCCGCAGAGCGGACUCCUCCCGACCGCUGGAACGCCGGCGUCAGCCUCGCGUGUGCGUGAGCGCGCAUUUCAGCAGAGGGCAGUGUGGUUUUGUCGUGGAGAAUUACAACGCGGUGACUCACCCGGCUAACGGCACGUAUGAUAUACGACAUGUGAAACCCGACGUUCGACAGCCAGCAUGCACUAAUCGUCUCUUCCUCCGCAGACCCUCCUUCAUGUCAACGCACCCAGCCGCACACACACACACACACACACACACACUCUCUCUGACACACGGCGGUGUGUGUUACGUGUGUCAUUGUUACAGGAAAUGAUCGAGGUCGUCGACUUGAGUCACUGUAUGCAAAAAAAAAAAUGAAUUUGCGAAUGUGAGUUUUGUUUUCUGGUUAAUUUAUAAUCCAGUUGUACUUUAAUUUAGCUUGAAAGAAAAAUCUAUUUAUUUUUCAGUGUCAUGUCAUAUCACCUUUCGCAAAGAGAUUUAGUAUUAUGGUUAUUGUGUUUUUUUGUACAUCACUCACUCGGUUUCUAACCCUGGUGGCGGCCUUCUGCUCAUUUUUCUUUCGUUUUGCUAAUGACUACAAUUCCCAGACCACGACCAAAGGGUUCGCCCUUCAAGUCUAGAGAGAACUAAACUUUGUGAGUGACAGGUGACCCUGGGCAGAUGGGACCAAUGAGAGCAGGUUUCCUCCCUCAUGUCCCUCCCCCACGUCCCCCCCCCUCUUCUUCUAGGCUCUUUUUCAAAUGCCGAGUUGUCUCAGUGUGAUCUCAGUCUAAGAGAUGAAGUUUAUGAAAAACAAAUGAAAUUACAGUAAGAAGACAUCUUAAGGUGAUUUUUAUUUAUUUAUUGUGUCUGAGGGGGGGGGGGGGGGCUGUUGAUGCUGCGCUACUGUGUGAUGGCGACCUCACGGAGGGAGGGGUGUUAAUGACACAACGGUGUAAAACUAAAAUUAUAAACAUGUUUUGUUCUGUUUUUGUAUUAAAAAUAUGCUUGCAAUAAAA